rnacentral:rRNA from 1 species
GAUGAACGCUGGCGGCGUGCUUAACACAUGCAAGUCGAACGGAAAGGCCCAAGCUUGCUUGGGUACUCGAGUGGCGAACGGGUGAGUAACACGUGGGUGAUCUGCCCUGCACUUCGGGAUAAGCCUGGGAAACUGGGUCUAAUACCGGAUAGGACCACAUUUUGGAUGGUGUGGUGGAAAGUUUUUCGGUGUGGGAUGAGCUCGCGGCCUAUCAGCUUGUUGGUGGGGUAAUGGCCUACCAAGGCGUCGACGGGUAGCCGGCCUGAGAGGGUGUACGGCCACAUUGGAACUGAGAUACGGCCCAGACUCCUGCGGGAGGCAGCAAUGGGGAAUAUUGCACCAUGGGCGCAAGCCUGAUGCAGCGACGCCGCGUGGUGGAUGACGGCCUUCGGGUUGUAAACUCCUUUCGCUAGGGACGAAGCGUUUUUGUGACGGUACCUGGAGAAGAGGCACCGGCUAACUACGUG